rnacentral:rRNA from 1 species
ACGAAGGGUGCAAGCGUUACUCGGAAUUAUUGGGCGUAAAGCGUGCGUAGGUGGUUCGUUAAGUCUGAUGUGAAAGCCCUGGGCUCAACCUGGGAAUGGCAUUGGAUACUGGCGACCUAGAGUGCGGUAGAGGGUAGCGGAAUUCCUGGUGUAGCAGUGAAAUGCGUAGAUAUCAGGAGGAAUACCGAUGGCGAAGGCAGGUCUCUGGGCUGACACUGACGCUCAUGCACGAAAGCGUGGGGAGCAAACAGGA